UAUCGUUAAGUACAAACAAAAAUUAAAUAACUCUAAGUAUUCUGUUUUCCCAAUUUCCCACUUACAUCAGUAUCGAUCAGCAAUAUCAGCUAUUUUAGAUUAUGAACGGAACGAGGAAUGUAUUUGGUUUACAGUGUUGUUUAUUUUUUUUUUUUUUCUGUGGAUAACUUUCCUACCAGAAAUUUAGAAAUCUGUUCGAAGUGGUACUUUAAGGAGGUCAUUUUACGAUUUUUCCAGUAGUUUCCGUGAUAAAAGGGAAAAACCGGGAAAAAAAAAGACACGAGAACAACAUGGGAAAAACGGGAAAAUAGAUACAAUAUUGUAAACAUAUAUUAUUAAAUAAAAUAUACUAUGCAUAUGAAAUUAUUUUACCUCAAUAUUACGUAAUAUGUAUAUGUAAUGUUUUGACUAAGCAAAACUGUUAUCCGAACUCCACUCAAAAUCGCUUUUCAUUAUCAAUAGUAAAUCAUUGCGUACAAAUAUACAUUAAAUUUCCAUUCUACCUUCCAACUUCUUGCCUACAUCAGUGGUCCAUAUUUUUUUUAACGUUUCGAAAAUACAUUACUUAAAACAUAAUAUUUCAGUUCGUAUAAUAAUAUGCUUUCUGAUCGAAGACUUGUCAGAGAACUCUUGCUGUUUUUAAGUUAAUUAAAACACAUUGAAUUGUAUAUGUAAUCAUUCAGACCAAAUACGUCAUAUUUAUCGAGUUUUUUUUUUUACUUCGGUUUAUUUAUAGGUGGAACAUGAUUAGGGAUAUAUUAUGUCUCUCUCGUUAACCUUUGUUUUAAUAUCAAUUAAUUUACAUGAUUUUCUAUAUAUAUAUAUAUAUUUUUUUUAAUUCUAUACUAUAGAAUCUUUAGUCAGGAAAAUCA